AGACGUCUACAUUAGAUACCCCUGUAGUCCCAGCCGUAAACUAUGCGCGUUAGGUGUAUCGGUGACCACGAGUCACCGAGGUGCCGAAGGGAAACCGUGAAACGUGCCGCCUGGGAAGUACGGUCGCAAGGCUGAAACUUAAAGGAAUUGGCGGGGAGCACAACAACGGGUGGAGCCUGCGGUUUAAUUGGACUCAACGCCGGGAAGCUCACCGGAUAAGACAGCGGAAUGAUUGCCGGGCUGAAGACUCUGCAUGACUAGCUG
rnacentral:rRNA from 1 species